UUUUUUUUUUUUCUUUUUUUAAAGAUUUAUUUAUUUCUUUAUUUGAGAGAGAGGAGAGAGUGAGGGCAGGGAGCAGAAGGAGAGAGAGGAAACUCAGUAUAGAGCCCAGUGCGGGAUUUGAUCUCUGAGAUCAUGACCUGAGCCGAAAUCAAGAGUCAGACACUCAACUGACUGAGCCACCCAGGUGACCCUGAGCAAUACCUUUCAUAAUUGUUGGACAUUUUAGGCCGAAUAGAAAGACUCCCAUCUGAUAAAAGGAUUCUGAUGCUAAAAACAGGCAUAUAAACAGGUUGAAAACCAUGCAGGUGCUAGGGACCGGUGGGGUUUUUGGUGGAGGACUAAUGUCAUUGUGUUGACAUGUUAAAAGCCUUGCUCUGGCUGCCAGUGUAGAGAAUGGAGUAGGAAGCAGGUGGGAGAGGGACCAGCCAGGAAGUUGCUGGAGUUAUUUUGGGCUAGGAGUAAAAGAAUAUGGCGUGCGAGGUUUUCCUGAGAAAGUAUUAACCAAAAGAUAGAGGUAGAGGCUGGUUGCAACAACACAGGUGAGUUUUGAGGAUACAGAAGUUGCCAUUGGGACCAGAAAGCCAUCCUGGAAAGUCCCCUGUACCUGCAUGAGGUGAAGCGGGAAGGAGGCAGCUGAACUGGACCGAAGCCUUACAAUUGCCUGUAGUUAGGAAAGAAAUUAGGCCCUGGUGUCACCCACUGCAGCCCCGCAUUUUAUAGGUAAAAACAUGAAGGUCUGGAGAGGUCAUUAUGACCUGUCUGAGGUCCCUGAGCAGGCCCCAACCCAGACCUAUGCUCUUGGUCCGUUGUCCAUCCUUCUCAUGGGAGCCCUGGCCUUGAAACGCUACUGUCUAGUGGAGCAAAAUAAGAGAUAACAGAGCCUGAAAUCUCCAGUUGUCCUGAAGACUCAGAGAAGGUAUUGAUACAUUUGGUUAGGCCAAGCCUUGAAGGAUGAACCAGAGUUUUGACAGAGAUGGAGGAAGGACAUUCUAGUGCAGGGUCUGACACGAGAAAGACCCAAAGGGAGUUUAUUAGCAGAAGGAACUUAACAUUAUUGUGCACUUCACAUACGUUGUCCUAUUUAGUCCUCCAAUAAAGCUUCAAGGUUGGAAUUGUUCUUGUUUUACCAUGAAGACCAAGGCUCAGAGGUAGAGGACAGAGGCUGGGUUCCCACCCAGACAUCUUUAGUUCCAGCCUAUGUGUGGAGGGUAGAAUGUGUCUUCACUCUCCACCCACUAGGUUUCAGUGGCUCCCAGUAUGGGUAGGGUCUUUGGAAAGGGUCCCAUGGGUGGCCGACUGUCUCUUCAAAAGGGCAAAAGGCAUGGACCCAGGCCUGAGAGCCUGACCUUGUCCAAGUCGCUGUGGCUGGAGGGUUUAGUCAGGGUGCGGCUUUGGAGACUGAGUUUUGCUUGCUCAGACUACUAGGGAUAGACCCAAAGGGAAUGAUUCUGGAACUUCAUCCUUAGUAUGGAAGCAGAGCCCAGUUCACAUCUCCAGAGGGGGGGUCACGAUCUUCAAGAACUUCGUUAGAGCAUGGAGCCCUUGUUAUUUCCCCACAGUGUUUUUACUCUGUUCCUUUACAGUGAUCAAUAAAACCCUGAGGGGAAGAAGAGGACUUCCAUUUUGUGGAUUCCUAAUGUGUGACCAGCACUACCUUUCAUUUCUCACCUAAACCUUUCUAAAAGCCUGUGAGUUAGGUAUUACCAGACUCAUUUUCCAGAGAAGUCCACUGAGGCUUGCAGAGAUGAAGUGAGUUCCCGGGUCCCACAGUUACACAUAGUGGAGCUGGGAGUUAGACCAGGCUUGACUGCAAAGCCCACCCUAGUUCAGGCAGCUGGGAUGCUGUGGUUAAGAAGUGAUACUUAUCUGAGGCCAAUCCCGUCACCCAGGUAGAAGGGAGAGGGCUGGGGGCCAUCCAGUGGAAGGGAACCGCGCAAAGCCCGGGGCUGCAGGUGGUUGGGAAUUUGUCAGGGCAAAGUGGAGGGUUGAGGUGGUGUGGGGAGGCAGCACCCACCAGCUCUGGGAGGGCCAGGACUAUGGGGAGAGGAUUUGAGUUAUACUCUGCGGUGAUACGGAGCCAGGGAAGGAAACUGGGAAGGGGAGCACCCAUGUCAAAUGUACUUUAAAAACUUCCCUCUGGGGCACUGCGGGUGCUGAAUCAACAGGGGCUACCCUACAGGCCUCGAGGGAGGUGGCCCAGCCUACACCAGAGACUGCAGGGCCUGACCUGUGACAGCAGUGGCACCCAGCAUGGAGGCUGCUUCUGAGCUGCACUGGGAGGAGAGUCAGGGCUGCCAGGGAUUUGGGUCGGUUCUGAACACCUGACAGCAAACUCCUCACCUCCAUCCUCAGGACCAGCUGCUCAUCUCCCAAACAAGCUCUGGUUUACACUGUACUCCUAUCAGGGAAGCUCAGAGAUGAGAAACCACAGACCAAGCUGAAGAGAGAGAGAGAGAGAGACAGAGACACAGGCAGAGGGAGAAGCAGGCUCCAUGCAGGAAGCCCGACGAGGGACUCAAUGCCGGGACUCCAGGAUCACACCCUGGGCUGAAGGCAGGUGCCAAACCACUGAGCCACCCAGGGAUCCCCCAGGAGAGCUUUUCUGUCAUGUUCGCUGCUGCAUCCUCAGAGCUCAGAACAGAGUAGAUGCUUAUUAAAACAAAACAAAACAAAACACAAACAAGUCAUACCCCUCUCCCUCUCCAAGUGGUGAAAUGAGGGUAA